UACAGAGGUCUCAAGCGUUGUUCGGAUUCAUUGGGCGUAAAGGGUGCGUAGGUGGCGGGGCCAGUCAGGUGUGAAAUCCCGGGGCUUAACCCUGGAACUGCAUUUGAUACUGCCUUGCUGGAGAACUGGAGAGGAGACUGGAAUUUACGGUGUAGCAGUGAAAUGCGUAGAGAUCGUAAGGAAGACCAGUGGCGAAGGCGAGUCUCUGGACAGUUACUGACACUGAGGCACGGAAGGCCAGGGGAGCAAACGGG
rnacentral:rRNA from 1 species